CUACGGGCGGCUCCAGUGGGGAAUAUUGCACAAUGGGCGCAAGCCUGAUGCAGCCAUGCCGCGUGUAUGAAGAAGGCCUUCGGGUUGUAAAGUACUUUCAGCGGGGAGGAAGGGAGUAAAGUUAAUACCUUUGCUCAUUGACGUUACCCGCAGAAGAAGCACCGGCUAACUCCGUGCCAGCAGCCGCGGUAAUACGGAGGGUGCAAGCGUUAAUCGGAAUUACUGGGCGUAAAGCGCACGCAGGCGGUUUGUUAAGUCAGAUGUGAAAUCCCCGGGCCCAACCUGGGAACUGCAUCUGAUACUGGCAAGCUUGAGUCUCGUAGAGGGGGGUAGAAUUCCAGGUGUAGCGGUGAAAUGCGUAGAGAUCUGGAGGAAUACCGGUGGCGAAGGCGGCCCCCUGGACGAAGACUGACGCUCAGGUGCGAAAGCGUGGGGAGCAAACAGGAUUAGAUACCCUCGUAGUU
rnacentral:rRNA from 1 species